UUUGCCCAGACCCCUGCAGUGUCAAGUGAAGGAAGCUCCUCUCAUGAGAUUGCAAAGAGAAAUGAAGAAAGCAACAGAAUGCUGAAGAUUAAUCCAGAAUUAUCUCAGCUUAGUUCCUGGAAAUGCUUCUCCUAAGAGCUUCAAGGAACUGAUUGACUCUGCUGUGAAAGAUGAUUAAACUGAUUAUUCAGAAUGGGGCAGCGAUCUUGCAUCAAUUUGUCUCCUCCUUGAUUUGAUUCCACCACCCUGGAAAGACAUGGAAAGAUGUGCUCAUAUCAAGCUGAACAACACCUUGUUGUCUUCAAAAUGAGACCAGCGUACAAGAACACCUUGAUUGCAUUGAACCGACCACACAGCAUACUUGCUUGCUGCCGGUGGAGAUCAACUCAAAUACUACUAUACCUGCUCGCUGAUGGGACAAAGAGGGACUGCAUUCAUGGAUGCUACACAACUGUUGACAAGUAGAUUUUUGCAAUCUUGUUCAAAUUUACCUGUUAUAUUUGUUAAUGUAUAGGCAAACUGGGUGAUUUUAUGCUUUUUCCCUUUUCUCUUUUUUUUCUGCUAAACUCCUAAUGAAUGUGACAAUUUGACUUUUUUUUACAUAUGGCAUAUGUUUUAAAGGAGCCACUUUGCCAUUUGUUGAAUAAACUUUGGAUUUGUACAUCUGUCUAAAGAGUCUUGAU